GAAACGCGAUAGUUAAUGUGAAUUGCAGAAUUCAGUGAAUCAUCGAGUCUUUGAACGCACAUUGCGCCCAUAGGUAUUCCUUUGGGCAUGUCUGUUUGAGCGUCAUUACAACCCUCAGCUAACCGCUGGUUUUGAACCUGAACGGGUGACAUCGCGCCGGUUUUAAAGUUGUAAGCUCUGCUGGCCGCUCUGCCCAACCAGAACAUAGUAAGCACUACUUGUCCGGGUGAAGCUGAACGGUACGGCCUGAACAAAACCUACCCACUCUCAAGGUUUGACCUCAGAUCAGACAAGGAUACCCGCUGAACUUAAGC
rnacentral:misc_RNA from 1 species